rnacentral:rRNA from 1 species
AGUGGCGGACGGGUGAGUAAUGCAUAGGAAUCUGCCCAGUAGCGGGGGAUAACUCGGAGAAAUUCGAGCUAAUACCGCAUACGCCCUACGGGGGAAAGCGGGGGACCUUCGGGCCUCGCACUAUUGGAUGAGCCUAUGUCAGAUUAGCUUGUUGGUGGGGUAACGGCCUACCAAGGCGACGAUCUGUAGCUGGUCUGAGAGGAUGAUCAGCCACACUGGAACUGAGACACGGUCCAGACUCCUACGGGAGGCAGCAGUGGGGAAUAUUGCACAAUGGGCGCAAGCCUGAUGCAGCAAUGCCGCGUGUGUGAAGAAGGCCUGCGGGUUGUAAAGCACUUUUAUUAGGAAAGAAAAACCCAGGGUUAAUACCCCUGGCAUUGACGGUACCUAAUGAAUAAGCACCGGCUAACUCCGUGCCAGCAGCCGCGGUAAUACGGAGGGUGCAAGCGU